rnacentral:rRNA from 1 species
UGCUCAUAGGACAUCCUAUGGCCAUUAAAGCGGGGGACUUCUUCGGAAGCCUUGCGGUUAAGGAGGAAUUCAUGCGAUAUCAGCUUGUUGGUGAGGUAAGAGCUCACCAAGGCUAAGACGUCUAGGCGGAUUGAGAGGUCGACCGCCAACACUGGGACUGAGACACUGCCCAGACUCCUACGGGAGGCUGCAGUCGAGAAUCUUUCGCAAUGGGCGAAAGCCUGACGAAGCGACACUGUGUGAACGAUGAAGGCCUUCGGGUUGUAAAGUUCUUUCGCCUAGGAACAAGGGAUGAAGACCAAUAAUCUUCAAACUUGAGCGUACUAGGUAAAGAAGCACCGGCUAACUCCGUGCCAGCAGCUGCGGUAAUACGGAGGGUGCAAGCAUUAAUCGGAUUUAUUGGGCGUAUAGGGGGCGUAGGCGGCUAGGUAAGUCGGAUGUGAAAUUCCGUGGCUCAACCACGGAGCUGCAUCCGAAACUACUUAGCUAGAGGAUAGGCGGGGAAAACGGAAUUCCACGUGUAGCGGUGAAAUGCGUAGAUAUGUGGAAGAACACCGGUGGCGAAAGCGGUUUUCUAGCUUAUUCCUGACGCUCAGGCCCGAAAGCAAGGGGAGCAAACAGGAUUAGAUACCCUGGUAGUCCUUGCCGUAAACUAUGCAUACUAGAUGUAGCUGGUCUCAACCCCAGUUGUGUCGAAGCUAACGCGUUAAGUAUGCCGCCUGGGGAGUACGCUCGCAAGGGUGAAACUCAAAAGAAUUGACGGGGACCCGCACAAGCAGUGGAGCAUGUGGUUUAAUUCGAUGCAACGCGAAGAACCUUACCCAGGUUUGACAUUGUGAAGAUCGCGCCAGAGAUGGCGUUUCCCGCAAGGGCUUCACGAACAGGUGCUGCAUGGCUGUCGUCAGCUCGUGCCG